AGAGUUUGAUCAUGGCUCAGAUUGAACGCUGGCGGCAGGCCUAACACAUGCAAGUCGAACGGUAACAGGAAACAGCUUGCUGUUUCGCUGACGAGUGGCGGACGGGUGAGUAAUGUCUGGGAAACUGCCUGAUGGAGGGGGAUAACUACUGGAAACGGUAGCUAAUACCGCAUAAUGUCGCAAGACCAAAGAGGGGGACCUUCGGGCCUCUUGCCAUCGGAUGUGCCCAGAUGGGAUUAGCUUGUUGGUGGGGUAACGGCUCACCAAGGCGACGAUCCCUAGCUGGUCUGAGAGGAUGACCAGCCACACUGGAACUGAGACACGGUCCAGACUCCUACGGGAGGCAGCAGUGGGGAAUAUUGCACAAUGGGCGCAAGCCUGAUGCAGCCAUGCCGCGUGUAUGAAGAAGGCCUUCGGGUUGUAAAGUACUUUCAGCGGGGAGGAAGGGAGUAAAGUUAAUACCUUUGCUCAUUGACGUUACCCGCAGAAGAAGCACCGGCUAACUCCGUGCCAGCAGCCGCGGUAAUACGGAGGGUGCAAGCGUUAAUCGGAAUUACUGGGCGUAAAGCGCACGCAGGCGGUUUGUUAAGUCAGAUGUGAAAUCCCCGGGCUCAACCUGGGAACUGCAUCUGAUACUGGCAAGCUUGAGUCUCGUAGAGGGGGGUAGAAUUCCAGGUGUAGCGGUGAAAUGCGUAGAGAUCUGGAGGAAUACCGGUGGCGAAGGCGGCCCCCUGGACGAAGACUGACGCUCAGGUGCGAAAGCGUGGGGAGCAAACAGGAUUAGAUACCCUGGUAGUCCACGCCGUAAACGAUGUCGACUUGGAGGUUGUGCCCUUGAGGCAUGGCUUCCGGAGCUAACGCGUUAAGUCGACCGCCUGGGGAGUACGGCCGCAAGGUUAAAACUCAAAUGAAUUGACGGGGGCCCGCACAAGCGGUGGAGCAUGUGGUUUAAUUCGAUGCAACGCGAAGAACCUUACCUGGUCUUGACAUCCACGGAAGUUUUCAGAGAUGAGAAUGUGCCUUCGGGAACCGUGAGACAGGUGCUGCAUGGCUGUCGUCAGCUCGUGUUGUGAAAUGUUGGGUUAAGUCCCGCAACGAGCGCAACCCUUAUCCUUUGUUGCCAGCGGUCCGGCCGGGAACUCAAAGGAGACUGCCAGUGAUAAACUGGAGGAAGGUGGGGAUGACGUCAAGUCAUCAUGGCCCUUACGACCAGGGCUACACACGUGCUACAAUGGCGCAUACAAAGAGAAGCGACCUCGCGAGAGCAAGCGGACCUCAUAAAGUGCGUCGUAGUCCGGAUUGGAGUCUGCAACUCGACUCCAUGAAGUCGGAAUCGCUAGUAAUCGUGGAUCAGAAUGCCACGGUGAAUACGUUCCCGGGCCUUGUACACACCGCCCGUCACACCAUGGGAGUGGGUUGCAAAAGAAGUAGGUAGCUUAACCUUCGGGAGGGCGCUUACCACUUUGUGAUUCAUGACUGGGGUGAAGUCGUAACAAGGUAACCGUAGGGGAACCUGCGGUUG
rnacentral:rRNA from 1 species